rnacentral:tRNA from 6 species
GCCUCGGUGGCGGAAUUGGUAGACGCAGCGGAUUCAAAAUCCGCCGUUGGUAACAACGUGGGAGUUCGAUUCUCCCCCGAGGCACCA